rnacentral:snoRNA from 1 species
CGUCGGCAUGAUAACUGGACGAUGGUCUCAACUACACCCACGACCGAAGUCUUUUAAGUUGCCGAUAGAUGAAACUGCGAGGGAAUCUUACACGUUCUCGGACUCUACCCCAUGAAGUACAGCGUUUAAUUCCUCGCAACAUAC